rnacentral:rRNA from 1 species
GAGAGUGGCGAACGGGUGAGUAACACGUAGGUUAUCUACCUUUGGGUGGGGGAUAGCCCAUGGAAACAUGGGGUAAUACCGCAUAAUGCCGUAAGGUUAAAGGAGCAAUUGUUCCGCCUGAGGAUGAGCCUGCGGUCCAUUAGCUAGUUGGUGAGGUAAGAGCUCUACCAAGGCAACGAUGGAUAGCCGGCCUGAGAGGGUGAACGGCCACACUGGGACUGAGACACGGCCCAG